AGUGAACGCUGGCGGUAGGCCUAACACAUGCAAGUCGAACGGCAGCACAGUAAGAGCUUGCUCUUACGGGUGGCGAGUGGCGGACGGGUGAGGAAUACAUCGGAAUCUACUUUUUCGUGGGGGAUAACGUAGGGAAACUUACGCUAAUACCGCAUACGACCUACGGGUGAAAGCAGGGGAUCUUCGGACCUUGCGCGAUUGAAUGAGCCGAUGUCGGAUUAGUUAGUUGGCGGGGUAAAGGCCCACCAAGACGACGAUCCGUAGCUGGUCUGAGAGGAUGAUCAGCCACACUGGAACUGAGACACGGUCCAGACUCCUACGGGAGGCAGCAGUGGGGAAUAUUGGACAAUGGGCGCAAGCCUGAUCCAGCCAUACCGCGUGGGUGAAGAAGGCCUUCGGGUUGUAAAGCCCUUUUGUUGGGAAAGAAAAGCAGCAGGUUAAUACCCCGCUGUUCCGACGGUACCCAAAGAAUAAGCACCGGCUAACUUCGUG
rnacentral:rRNA from 1 species